rnacentral:tRNA from 1 species
GCUGCCUUAGCUCAAUUGGUAGAGCAGCUGAUUUGUAAUCAGCAGGUUGGGGGUUCAAGUCCCUUAGGCAGCU